rnacentral:rRNA from 1 species
GGGAUUGCCUCAGUAACGGCGAGUGAAGCGGCAACAGCUCAAAUUUUAAAGCUGGCGUCCUCGACGCCCGCGUUGUAAUUUGGAGAGGCAUCUUCGGUUUGGGCGCCAGCCUAUGUUCCUUGGAACAGGACGUCACAGAGGGUGAGAAUCCCGUGCUUGGCUGGCUGUCCCUCUCCAUGUGAAGUGUCUUCGACGAGUCGAGUUGUUUGGGAAUGCAGCUCAAAAUGGGUGGUAAAUUUCAUCUAAAGCUAAAUAUUGGCGGGAGACCGAUAGCGCACAAGUAGAGUGAUCGAAAGAUGAAAAGCACUUUGAAAAUAGAGUUAAAAAGUACGUGAAAUUGUUGAAAGGGAAGCGCUUGAGACCAGACUCGGCCGGAGACGAUCAGCGGUCCUUCUGGGCCGUGCACUCGUCCUCGGUUGGGCCAGCAUCGGUUGAGACGGUGGGAUAAAGGUCCGGGGAAUGUGGCUCCUUUCGGGGAGUGUUAUAGCCCCGGGCGCAAUGCCACCAGUCUCGACCGAGGACCGCGCUCUUUUGCUAGGAUGCUGGCGUAAUGGUCUUCAGCGACCCGUCUUGAAACACGGACCAAGGAGUCUAACAUCUAUGCGAGUGUUUGGGUGUCAAACCCUUGCGCGUAAUGAAAGUGAACGUGGGUGGGAACCUCUCGUAAGGGGGGCGCACCAUCGACCGAUCCUGAUGUCUUCGGAUGGAUUUGAGUAGGAGCAUAGCUGUUGGGACCCGAAAGAUGGUGAACUAUGCCUGAAUAGGGUGAAGCCAGAGGAAACUCUGGUGGAGGCUCGCAGCGGUUCUGACGUGCAAAUCGAUCGUCAAAUUUGGGUAUAGGGGCGAAAGACUAAUCGAAC